GACGAACGCUGGCGGCGUGCCUAAUACAUGCAAGUAGAACGCUGAAGAGAGGAGCUUGCUCUUCUUGGAAGAGUUGCGAACGGGUGAGUAACGCGUAGGUAACCUGCCUUGUAGCGGGGGAUAACUAUUGGAAACGAUAGCUAAUACCGCAUAACAAUGGGUGACCCAUGUCAUUCAUUUGAAAGGGGCAACUGCUCCACUACAAGAUGGACCUGCGUUGUAUUAGCUAGUAGGUGAGGUAACGGCUCACCUAGGCGACGAUACAUAGCCGACCUGAGAGGGUGAUCGUCCACACUGGGACUGAGACACGGCCCAGACUCCUACGGGAGGCAGCAGUAGGGAAUCUUCGGCAAUGGACGGAAGUCUGACCGAGCAACGCCGCGUGAGUGAAGAAGGUUUUCGGAUCGUAAAGCUCUGUUGUAAGAGAAGAACGAGUGUGAGAGUGGAAAGUUCACACUGUGACGGUAUCUUACCAGAAAGGGACGGCUAACUACGUGCCAGCAGCCGCGGUAAUACGUAGGUCCCGAGCGUUGUCCGGAUUUAUUGGGCGUAAAGCGAGCGCAGGCGGUUAGAUAAGUCUGAAGUUAAAGGCUGUGGCUUAACCAUAGUACGCUUUGGAAACUGUUUAACUUGAGUGCAAGAGGGGAGAGUGGAAUUCCAUGUGUAGCGGUGAAAUGCGUAGAUAUAUGGAGGAACACCGGUGGCGAAAGCGGCUCUCUGGCUUGUUACUGACGCUGAGGCUCGAAAGCGUGGGGAGCGAACAGG
rnacentral:rRNA from 1 species